CUGCCCAAAAGAGGGGGAUAACACUUGGAAACAGGUGCUAAUACCGCAUAACCAUAGUUACCGCAUGGUAACUAUGUAAAAGGUGGCUAUGCUACCGCUUUUGGAUGGGCCCGCGGCGCAUUAGCUAGUUGGUGGGGUAAAGGCUUACCAAGGCAAUGAUGCGUAGCCGAACUGAGAGGUUGAUCGGCCACAUUGGGACUGAGACACGGCCCAAACUCCUACGGGAGGCAGCAGUAGGGAAUCUUCCACAAUGGGCGAAAGCCUGAUGGAGCAACGCCGCGUGGGUGAAGAAGGUCUUCGGAUCGUAAAACCCUGUUGUUAGAGAAGAAAGUGCGUGAGAGUAACUGUUCACGUUUCGACGGUAUCUAACCAGAAAGCCACGGCUAACUACGUGCCAGCAGCCGCGGUAAUACGUAGGUGGCAAGCGUUAUCCGGAUUUAUUGGGCGUAAAGGGAACGCAGGCGGUCUUUUAAGUCUGAUGUGAAAGCCUUCGGCUUAACCGGAGUAGUGCAUUGGAAACUGGGAGACUUGAGUGCAGAAGAGGAGAGUGGAACUCCAUGUGUAGCGGUGAAAUGCGUAGGUAUAUGGAAGAACACCAGUGGCGAAAGCGGCUCUCUGGUCUGUAACUGACGCUGAGGUUCGAAAGCGUGGGUAGCAAACAGGAUUAGAUACCCUGGUAGUCCACGCCGUAAAC
rnacentral:rRNA from 1 species